AUCUUCCACAAUGGGCGAAAGCCUGAUGGAGCAACGCCGCGUGGGUGAAGAAGGUCUUCGGAUCGUAAAACCCUGUUGUUAGAGAAGAAAGUGCGUGAGAGUAACUGUUCACGUUUCGACGGUAUCUAACCAGAAAGCCACGGCUAACUACGUGCCAGCAGCCGCGGUAAUACGUAGGUGGCAAGCGUUAUCCGGAUUUAUUGGGCGUAAAGGGAACGCAGGCGGUCUUUUAAGUCUGAUGUGAAAGCCUUCGGCUUAACCGGAGUAGUGCAUUGGAAACUGGGAGACUUGAGUGCAGAAGAGGAGAGUGGAACUCCAUGUGUAGCGGUGAAAUGCGUAGAUAUAUGGAAGAACACCAGUGGCGAAAGCGGCUUUCUGGACAUUAACUGACGCUGAGGCACGAAGGCCAGGGGAGCGAA
rnacentral:rRNA from 1 species